rnacentral:lncRNA from 1 species
AAUCUAUGCACAUUUUUAAAGAGGUAAUUUACUAUUAUUACCUGCUUCCUUUUUUUUGAGCAAUAACAUUGGGUGGUAGUAUAACUGUGGGGUUUCUUGUCUCGUCUAAAUUAUGGACUUCAUGGGGUUUGAAUUUGUAUUUUGACUUUUUAACUUUCAACAACUUGUCGUAGAACAACAUAACCACCAACUUGUUGCAUCCAGCUGCUCAAGCCGGGCUAGUGUGUUCUGGUUUGCGAAUUAAAAGGGUAGCGUGAUGUUUCAUAAAAAAAACAACCAAUCUUUUGAUGCUUUUUCACUCUCCAAUUUUGUGGAACUUAUUUUGUGAAACACGGUAAAGAUGUCUAGUAGAUAAGCUAGUGGAGUGUGCUUCUUGUUUUCAUCUUCAGAACUGUAGCAACAGGAUGUCAUGAAACAUGGUCUUGCAAGAGCACUUUCGUUCCCAGCUACUUCCGCAAAAAUCGCAAUUGAAUGUUGAAUCCAACAUAAUUGCACUUUCCCUAAAAAACGAAAUUUUACAUUGAAAUUUCAAACAGUACCACUUAUAACAGAUUAAUAUUAUUAUAUUCUUUUAGCGUACACACAUUUUCCUUUUAACAGCCAAUCCCCUAGAAUUCCUUGCAAUAAAUCUGACCACCAUAACUGGAUUCAGGGACAGGCUACAGACUGGGCAAAAAAUCCACUUAAAGAUUUUUGGGGAUAUCCAGUAAUUUUUCAUUUUCUGCAAAUUCUAUCUUUUCCAAUUAGAAUAUUCGUAUCCAAACCGCAAGCAAUGUUUUGACAAACUAAGCCUUUGGGUUGGGAAAAUAAUUCCUUUUUGGUAUGGUCAUCGACAAAUUUAGCUACAUGAACAACAGUAUUGCUAUUUCGUGCGAUUUCAUCUACUUUCUUCGUAAAGUGAUGUCUACCUAAAUUAACCAUGAAAUUACUUUGACAAAUCAACCAAUAUAAAAAAUGAAUGUCUCCUUCACUCGCUCCUCAGCAGCAGCCGUUCUCUCUUUCUGUUCUCCCUCUCAGUUUUCCCACUCUACUAUCUCCCUAUAAGUUCUCAUUGCUUGUGUAUGUGUCCGGCCGUGCGUCUUUAAACUAUUUAAACCCAGAGACUAGUCAUCACAAUCUAUAAAAAAUUUUGAGGUUCAGGAUGUUUUCCAUUGUUUUAUUCCUGCUUGAAGUUUUCAGUCGUUUAAGUUUUUCAUUAGUCGUGGUGUUGCACCUGCAACGAAAAAACAUUAGGAAAUUAUUAAUUGUUACGAAAUAGAAGUUCAUGUUCCUUGAGUCAUUUCACUGAGGUAUCCAUCAACGUUGGAUAGGGUGCAGUCUGAGAUUUCUUCCCUUUUCUACUCCCAAAUGAAAUUUCUGAUAACUCCAUUUAAUCCUUUUUUCAACUUCAUACGAAAUAAAAACACUUUUGUAUGCGGAAUUCCUGGCCGAUUAAGAAGAUUCAAGCAGUCUGCCUAACUGCAAAAACAAAUUAUACGAUUUGAAGUCACACAAUUAGAACAUGGUGUUGAAAUUUUAUGCAAUUUGAAAUUUUCACCAAAACAGCACUUUAGUUGUUUAAGAAGCACUCAAUUUGUUUAAGAUUACAUACAGCACCAAAAUAAAAAAGGAGGCGGAAAAAAUGAAUUAGCAAUCAGGGUCAUAAGGCUCUUUCAUACUCCUUAGUAAAAACUCGUAGCCGCCUGAUUCCUCAAAAAGCAGGAGUUCGGCCUCCGUUUUCGGCAUGGAAGCUAGAAGGUGUAGCAUGCGAACAAUUGUUGCAAUGAUCUCUUGCUCUUUCAGUGUUAACAUUGACAAAGAGUUGCGUCUCAAUUAGAGGUAAUCAAAAUUAGAAGAGCUGUUUCUGUUCUGUCAUGUCUGUGGAUCAUCCACAGCACUUUCCUUUUGGAUUAUAUUUUUUAUGUUUUUCAUAAUGCAUAUUUGAGACUAAUGCAAACAAAAUGCUAUCUUAGACGAAGACUUAAGAUUGGCAAUGAUAAUAGAAGGUUAAUAUAAAGAAUCUAUAGACACUCAGAUUAACAAGGGACGAUAUUCAGAGAGCUUCUACAAUUCUUCUUCUAAGUAACAAUUUUGACGGAUGUUUUGAUAUACCGCUAUUGCCCUUUCCCAUUCAAAUAUCAGAGAACUUCGAAGGGCAAACACAAAUUAUAGUGAUGGUAAUGGGCAGGGAGGGCUAAAAAAAUAGUUGGUUUGAACGAAAGCUUUGAGAGUCAAAAACAUAUUUCACCAAAGAAAGACAUAACUGUUGACUAUAUGGACUAACGGCAUUAACAAUGACAGAAGGACGAAUGUUCUUAUCUACUGAUAUCUGCAACUUAUCUUAUAAUAAAAUCCUUGACCGUAGAGAACAUGUAAUUUGUCUUUCACUACCUUUAUUUUUCUCUUUAGUAAUUUUUCCAUUUCUUCUUUUGCCUUCUUUACUUGCUCAAGGCCUCAAGCUCUACUUUUAGCAAUAUAUUUUCUUUUCUUCAGUAAAUUUCUUCUGUUUCUAUUAAAUUUUUUAAUUCCGGAAGAUAUGUGGUUAUAAAAUAACAGCUUAUGAAAGAAUAUUCAGAAACUAAUAUCCAUAACGAAAUUACAUGAUUUGUUAGUGAUCAAUGAAGGUUGUUUGCAACAGCUUAAACCUUCCUUUUUACGUCCUGAGAACGCCACGCAGGACAGGAAGGGAGAAGGUAUUUGCAGUUGUGACGGGGUGUGACGGAGGGAGAAGGUAUCAAUGACAGGCAAUAUAAUUUAAAACGUAUCUAAAUAGCCAUUGCCAGUUCAAUAUUGAUGAUUUUUCUCUUGAAGUCUGUGGAAUAGUUGUUCUUAUUCCAGGCAACACGCUGAUGAUAAUCACCCAUCUGCCUUUGACUGCCGUUCACCAUUCGUGGACCUUCAAAAUGUUUUUGAAAUAUUCCAUCGAGCCAUAUUGAUUUAGAAUCAAAUGUCUCGAAUUUAUUGCCAUCUACGAUAAACAUGAUGGUAACGAUGAAAUGAUCAGAAGUAGACUAAUCCAUUGGCAUCGAAAUCUUGAUAACUGUCUGGAAAUUUUGUUGAGUUUUGUCAAAAUGUCCCAUUACUGCUUGUUUCAUCAAACUUAAAACCAGUCCGGUUAUCAUGGGUUUUUUAAUCAACUUUUAAAGUUCAUCCCCAGAAAAGAACUACACUAAAGAUGCAGUAUCGCUUCAAAAAAAUGUAGUUAAGGUUCAUUAAAAGACAUUAAUGAAAAACCACAAAUAAUUCAAAAGGAGAAAAGGCCGGAUUCUAGGAGAGGGGAAAUAAAUAAAAGUUGACGUAAGUCAACGUGGAGUGGACAACGGAGAGUGGUAAUCACGAUGGAAGGAGAAAGACAAAGUUAUGGCGGAGCAGGACGGCAAAAAGGACGGUCAAGGGAAGAGAGUGGUGAGACCUGACUUGUGAGCUGAAUGGAUAGAGGGUAACAAUGUGAUGGACUUCAACAACUUAACAAAAAAAAGCGACAUCCUUUCAAAUUUCAAAUAAUUUUUGGAAUUUCUGUAGACCAUACUAUGAAUGGAAAUUCAUGAUGUGUUGCGACACCUAAGUCAAAACCAUCUAUCAGCAUGAAACCAACAUGGGCUCAAUAGAAUCAAGUCAAUAGAAAUCAAGAGGAAGAAGGG